rnacentral:rRNA from 1 species
CCCAGACUCCUACGGGAGGCAGCAGUGAGGAAUAUUGGUCAAUGGUCGGGAGACUGAACCAGCCAAGCCGCGUGAGGGAGGAAGGUACAGAGUAUCGUAAACCUCUUUUGUCAGGGAACAAAGGCGGGGACGUGUCCCCGGAUGAGUGUACCUGAAGAAAAAGCAUCGGCUAACUCCGUGCCAGCAGCCGCGGUAAUACGUAGGUGGCAAGCGUUGUCCGGAUUUACUGGGGGUAAAGGGCGUGCAGCCGGGCCGACAAGUCAGAUGUGAAAUCCACGGGCUUAACCCGCGAACUGCAUUUGAAACUAUUGGUCUUGAGUACCGGAGAGGUCAUCGGAAUUCCUUGUGUAGCGGUGAAAUGCGUAGAUAUAAGGAAGAACACCAGUGGCGAAGGCGGAUGACUGGACGGCAACUGACGGUGAGGCGCGAAAGCGUGGGGAGCAAACAGGAUUAGAUACCCCAGUA